UGGGGAAUAUUGCACAAUGGGCGAAAGCCUGAUGCAGCAACGCCGCGUGAGCGAUGAAGGUCUUCGGAUCGUAAAGCUCUGUCCUCAAGGAAGAUAAUGACGGUACUUGAGGAGGAAGCCCCGGCUAACUACGUGCCAGCAGCCGCGGUAAUACGUAGGGGGCUAGCGUUAUCCGGAAUUACUGGGCGUAAAGGGUGCGUAGGCGGUCUUUCAAGCCAGAAGUGAAAGGCUACGGCUCAACCGUAGUAAGCUUUUGGAACUGUAAGACUUGAGUGCAGGAGAGGAGAGUGGAAUUCCUAGUGUAGCGGUGAAAUGCGUAGAUAUUAGGAGGAACACCAGUUGCGAAGGCGGCUCUCUGGACUGUAACUGACGCUGAGGCACGAAAGCGUGGGGAGCAAAC
rnacentral:rRNA from 1 species